CCCGCUUCUUGCCUGGCCCAGGGGCUCCGCAGCAUCCGCUGCUUCACAGCUUCCCCUGCUGGGCGUGGUGGCGUGGUGCAAGCCUGUAAUCCCAGCUCUCGGGAGGCUGAGGCAGGAGGAUCCCUUUGGGGGACAAAAGUGCUCCGACGUUGACUAGUGCUGGCUGCACACUGGAAAUGCACCAGCAACACUGCCUUCUACCCUGGCAGCGGGGAGCCGUGAGGCGUGAGAAUUACAUGUAAAUCCAUGGUGAUGGGAGCAGCCGGGAAACCUGGGCAGGUGGAAUGCGUCAGCCUGAGGAGCUCCUCUGAGGCUCUAGGUGGCAGGGAGCAGGGAGGAGGCUUUCCUCCUGCCAGCGCUGGUCUCCCAGGACUCCGCUGCCUCCUUCCUCCUGCUGACCUGAGACUUUGUCCCUCUGCUGGCCUUGGCUCCGCCGCCCCUGGGCGCACACACUGCCCUCUGCCUCACCCGGAGCGCCGCCCUCCGAUGGACUGACCGGCGGCAGAGAUCCUGGGUGUUGGGGGUUGAACAGGGAAGAAAACAGACAAAAUCUGUGUCCAGAUGAACUACCAUUCCAGUGAGGAGAAAGGAAAGAAACAAAGAAAUAGCUUGCACUCGGAGUGGUGGUGCACAGCUGUGAUCCCACCGUUUUGGAAGGCUGAGGCAGGAGAAUGAUGAAACGAGUGACUGCAAGGAAGGUGAGUGGAGAUGCCGCGCCCUCUCCCAUCUGGGCUGUCUGAGGGCCUGGGAGAGGGGCUCUUCCUGCACUGGGGGGCAGGUGCCCCUGAAAACUGCACAGUGUUUUCAUGUACCCUGCUACCCGUGAGCCCUCCUCUCCCCGGAAGUGACCGGGUAAGUCCCGAGUAACAGGGUUAUGGAGACCAGGCAGGAAGGGCCCAGCGCCUGUCUGUGGCCGGGUCCGCAGUGGGGCUGCCUGCGAGGGCUGAGGACUCCGCUCCUCCUGAGAACCCAGGGCCCGAUGAUCUGACGGAGGCGGCGACGGGGCGACGGGGCAUGGGCGCCCCUGCAGGUACAGAGGAGCAGAGGCCCAGAGUUCUGACUGCGGAGACCGGAACAAACCAACUGCUCCCGGACCUGAGCCUCUACCCGGGGUUCAGAGCGGGGUGAGCCCGAGCUCCUCAGCUGCGGGCUGCGUCUGGUGGUGACGCUCGUUUUAGUCCCUGUGCCGCCGCCUACGGCUUUUUACCUCUCCCGUCGGCGCCUCUGCCCGCACCGAGCACUCAUCUCAGUCAGUUUGGGAAACCCACAGCUAACUUCAGCCCAAACGAGCCCCAAACCAGCGUCACUGCAGAGCUGCAUGGAAAGGGGAGGGACCCGGUGCCGAGACCGAAGACCCUGAGAGGCAGCAGGAAGAAGGCGGCGUUAAAGGACAUCGGGGGUCACUCGUGCUCUGCAAGCCUGCCCUGUGCACUGCGUGGUGACAGAGCUGCUUUGCCACGUGGAGACCAAGCACCCGUGUUGAAACACAGGCUUUCUUUUCAGAAGAAAAACGAACCGCGAACACAAGGAACAGAAGCAGUUCCUGG
rnacentral:lncRNA from 1 species